rnacentral:rRNA from 1 species
UACGUAGGGCGCAAGCGUUGUCCGGAAUUAUUGGGCGUAAAGGGCUCGUAGGCGGCCAACUAAGUCCGACGUGAAAUCCCCAAGCUUAACUUGGGAACUGCGUCGGAUACUGGAUGGCUUGAAUUCGGGAGAGGGAUGCAGAAUUCCAGGUGUAGCGGUGAAAUGCGUAGAUAUCUGGAGGAAUACCGGUGGCGAAGGCGGCAUCCUGGACCGACAUUGACGCUGAGGAGCGAAAGCUAGGGGAGCAAACGGG